GAUUAAAUGGCUGAAUAUUAGGCGAUAAAUUGUAAAUUUAUUUAUGGGAGUUGCUCUCUUUAAUCA
rnacentral:tRNA from 1 species